rnacentral:lncRNA from 1 species
UUACCGUAACUAAGCGAGCACUAACCGUGUGUGAAAACGAAUGAAAAUAAAUGGAUUAGGGAAAAAUCAAGAAGAAGAAAAAAAGAGAAAGAUGGAAAAACUCAGAGAAUUUCGGCAAGAGGAGAGGGAGAAGAAUAGACGGCAUAAUUUUUUUUAGAAAAUAGAGUCAAAUUCGGUUAUGGAAAAAAAUAAAAUAAAAUCUCGAUAACCCCCAAAAUCCCUUAAUCUUCUCCCCCGAUUCCCACUACAC